UGCAGCAAGGCACAUUUAAGUUAGACAUUGGGAAAAACUUCCUGUCAGGGUAUUUAACCACUGGAACAAAAUACCUAGGGAGGUUGUGGAAUCUCCAUAAUUGCAGGUUUUUAAAUACAGGUUAGACAAUCAUCUGUCAGAGACAGUCUAGAUAUUACUUAGUCCAGCCUCAGUGCAGCAGACUGGACUAGAUGAGCUAUUGAGGUCCCUUCCAGUCCUAUAUUUGUAUGAUUUUUAUGGUUUAUCCUUUAGCCAAGAAUCCAACAAAGGAACGGACACUCCUAUGGAUAGUAAGAACAUUCAAAGUUGCAGUAGCAAGGAUUUAAAGAAACACCACCACCCAAGAGGUUUGGAAGGGUAAUAUCCAACCUCUAACUAAUGGGGUUAGGAAGAAGUUUUCCUUAUGUGCAGGCUAUUUAUAAGGUUUCUUGCACAUUCCUCUAAAGCAGUGGUCUCCAAAUCUUUUGGAGCGCGCACCCCCAGGGCCAGCUCUAGGGAAGCAAAA